UGACCUCGGAUCAGGUAGGGAUACCCGCUGAACUUAAGCAUAUCAUAAGGCGGGAGGAAACGNCUCGUAAUUCACAGGAACAAACCUAUAUCUGAGCUGCUGUCACAAGUACAGCACACACCGUAUUUUGACUGUCAUCCAUCUCUCUCCGCCUAUUAGCAUUGAAAUUUACUGUGCUUCUCAUUUUCGUAACCAUCAUCCUUCAACUAAGGGUCUUUGCAUCUCAAAUACUAACAGAAUCUCCGUUAAACUCAUUGCAACGUUCCCAGAAUCCAACUAUUAAUCGCGUGUAGUUACCCUAUCGUGUAAGUUCGUUAACGUUCUCCAAUAUACAAUAAUGAUCACUUAUCAAUAGAGCUGUCUCACAAACCACCCUACCAAAGAAAAAAAAAAAGCCGGAGA
rnacentral:rRNA from 1 species